AGAGUUUGAUCAUGGCUCAGAUUGAACGCUGGCGGCAGGCCUAACACAUGCAAGUCGAGCGGUAGCACAGAGAGCUUGCUCUCGGGUGACGAGCGGCGGACGGGUGAGUAAUGUCUGGGAAACUGCCUGAUGGAGGGGGAUAACUACUGGAAACGGUAGCUAAUACCGCAUAAUGUCGCAAGACCAAAGUGGGGGACCUUCGGGCCUCAUGCCAUCAGAUGUGCCCAGAUGGGAUUAGCUUGUAGGUGGGGUAACGGCUCACCUAGGCGACGAUCCCUAGCUGGUCUGAGAGGAUGACCAGCCACACUGGAACUGAGACACGGUCCAGACUCCUACGGGAGGCAGCAGUGGGGAAUAUUGCACAAUGGGCGCAAGCCUGAUGCAGCCAUGCCGCGUGUGUGAAGAAGGCCUUCGGGUUGUAAAGCACUUUCAGCGGGGAGGAAGGCGGUGAGGUUAAUAACCUCAUCGAUUGACGUUACCCGCAGAAGAAGCACCGGCUAACUCCGUGCCAGCAGCCGCGGUAAUACGGAGGGUGCAAGCGUUAAUCGGAAUUACUGGGCGUAAAGCGCACGCAGGCGGUCUGUCAAGUCGGAUGUGAAAUCCCCGGGCUCAACCUGGGAACUGCAUUCGAAACUGGCAGGCUAGAGUCUUGUAGAGGGGGGUAGAAUUCCAGGUGUAGCGGUGAAAUGCGUAGAGAUCUGGAGGAAUACCGGUGGCGAAGGCGGCCCCCUGGACAAAGACUGACGCUCAGGUGCGAAAGCGUGGGGAGCAAACAGGAUUAGAUACCCUGGUAGUCCACGCCGUAAACGAUGUCGAUUUGGAGGUUGUGCCCUUGAGGCGUGGCUUCCGGAGCUAACGCGUUAAAUCGACCGCCUGGGGAGUACGGCCGCAAGGUUAAAACUCAAAUGAAUUGACGGGGGCCCGCACAAGCGGUGGAGCAUGUGGUUUAAUUCGAUGCAACGCGAAGAACCUUACCUGGUCUUGACAUCCACAGAACUUUCCAGAGAUGGAUUGGUGCCUUCGGGAACUGUGAGACAGGUGCUGCAUGGCUGUCGUCAGCUCGUGUUGUGAAAUGUUGGGUUAAGUCCCGCAACGAGCGCAACCCUUAUCCUUUGUUGCCAGCGGU
rnacentral:rRNA from 1 species